rnacentral:rRNA from 1 species
AUACGGAGGAUCCGAGCGUUAUCCGGAUUUAUUGGGUUUAAAGGGUGCGCAGGCGGCCAUUUAAGUCAGCGGUUAAAUCGUGGGGCUCAACCCCAUUCUGCCGUUGAUACUGGGUGGCUUGAUUGCGGUCGAGGUCGGCGGAAUUCGUUGUGUAGCGGUGAAAUGCAUAGAUAUGACGAAGAACACCGAUUGCGUAGGCAGCUGACCAGACCGCAAAUGACGCUCAUGCACGAAAGUGCGGGGAUCGAACAGGAUUAGAUACCCUGGUAGUCCGCACAGUAAACGAUGAAUACUUGUUUUCGGCGAUAUAAUGUCGGAGGCAAAGCGAAAGCGAUAAGUAUUCCACCUGGGGAGUACGCCGGCAACGGUGAAACUCAAAUGAAUUGGCGG